CCUACGGGAGGCAGCAGUAAGGAAUAUUGCGCAAUGGACGAAAGUCUGACGCAGCGACGCCGCGUGGGGGAUGAAGGUCUUCGGAUUGUAAACCCCUUUCGGGAGGGAAGAUGGAGUGGGUAACCACUUGGACGGUACCUCCAGAAGCAGCCACGGCUAACUUCGUGCCAGCAGCCGCGGUAAUACGAAGGUGGCAAGCGUUGUUCGGAUUCACUGGGCGUACAGGGAGCGUAGGCGGUUGGGUAAGCCCUCCGUGAAAUCUCCGGGCCUAACCCGGAAAGUGCAGAGGGGACUGCUCAGCUAGAGGAUGGGAGAGGAGCGCGGAAUUCCCGGUGUAGCGGUGAAAUGCGUAGAGAUCGGGAGGAAGGCCGGUGGCGAAGGCGGCGCUCUGGAACAUUUCUGACGCUGAGGCUCGAAAGCGUGGGGAGCAAACAGGAUUAGAUACCCUGGUAGUCCACGCCUUAAACUAUGGAUACUAAGUGUCGGCGGUUUACCGCCGGUGCCGCAGCUAACGCAAUAAGUAUCCCGCCUGGGAAGUACGGCCGCAAGGUUGAAACUUAAAGGAAUUGACGG
rnacentral:rRNA from 1 species